GGUUGUGGCUCAGUGGUAGAGUGCCAGCUUAGCAUGUGCAAAGCCUUGGGUUCGAUCCUCAGCAACACA
rnacentral:tRNA from 1 species